rnacentral:rRNA from 1 species
GACGGAGGGUGCAAGCGUUGUUCGGAAUUACUGGGCGUAAAGCGUACGUAGGCGGCGGAUUAAGUCGAAUGUUAAAGCCUGGGGCUCAACCCCAGAGAUGCACUCGAUACUGGUUUGCUAGAGGGUGAUAGAGGAAAGUGGAAUUCCGAGUGUAGCGGUGAAAUGCGUAGAUAUUCGGAGGAACAUCAGUAGCGAAGGCGACUUUCUGGGUCACACCUGACGCUGAGGUACGAAAGCGUGGGGAGCAAACGGGAUUAGAUACCCCGGUAGUCCACGCCGUAAACGAUGGAUGCUAGGUGUAGCGGGUAUCGACCCCUGCUGUGCCGUAGCUAACGCGUUAAGCAUCCCGCCUGGGGAGUACGCACGCAAGUGUGAA